AACAUUCAAAACAUCUGGUUGCGAAAUAGGACCAGGUUGCUGUUGUGGAUGGUCAUGACUAUGGAUGGAAGAAACAGGUUCUAUAGUAAUGACAUUCGGUUGCGAAAUGAGAACAGUUUGCUGUUGUUGGUCAUGAUCAUUUAAAACAGAAGGUUGCUUCUCGAUUUCAACAGGCCCCGCUGCAUGUUUAACAUCCAUAGCAUCAGGUUGCGAAAUAAGAACAGUUUGCUGUUGUUGAUCAGGAUGAUUUGAAGCAGAAGGUUGCUUCUCAAUUUCAACAGGCUUCGCUGCAUGUUUAACAUCCAUAGCAUCAGGUUGAGAAAUAAGAACAGUCUGCUGUUGUUGAUCAGGAUGAUUUGAAGCAGAAGGUUGCUUCUCAAUUUCAACAGGCUUCGCUGCAUGUUUAACAUUCAUAGCAUCAGGUUGCGAAAUAAGAACAGUUUGCUGUUGUUGAUCAGGAUGAUUUGAAGCAGAAGGUUGCUUCUCAAUUUCAACAGGCGACUCUUCUUGUUCAAUAUUCAUAACAUCCGGUUGCAAGAUAGGAAAAGUUUGCUGCUGUUGGUCAUAAUGGUUUGAAGCAGAAGGUUGCUUCUCAAUUUCAACAGACGACUCUGCUUGUUCAAUAUUCAUAACAUCCGGUUGCGAAAUAGGAAAAGUUUGCUGCUGUUGGUCAUGAUGGUUUGAAGCAGAAG
rnacentral:lncRNA from 1 species